CGGUUUCUUCGGGGCAGGGUGCAAUUCCUUACCGACGGUGACAAUUAAUAAUUGAAGUCCGUGACCCGCGUUUUGCGGUGGAACUAGUGAGAGUCUAGUACCGACAGUUAUAGUCUGGAUGGGAGAAGAACAAA
rfam:Lactobacillus sp. wkB8, complete genome.